UUCUGUGAUGUUAAAAUAGUUAAAAUGGACCUACAUAACAAAGUGUGUUCACUGCUGGCUACAAGUUAGCAUCAAACACAACAAAGGAUGUCACUUGAAUGGCGUUUUUAGCUAA